rnacentral:tRNA from 1 species
GCCUGGGUGGCUCAGUCGGUUAAGCGUCUGACUCUCAGUUUGGGCUCAGGUCACGAUCUCACGGUGCGUGGGUUCAAGCCCCACAUUGGGCU